UACGUAGGGGGCAAGCGUUGUCCGGAAUUAUUGGGCGUAAAGAGCGUGUAGGCGGUCCGGUAAGUCAGCUGUGAAAGUCAAGGGCUCAACCCUUGAAUGCCGGUUGAUACUGUCGGGCUAGAGUCCGGAAGAGGCGAGUGGAAUUCCAGGUGUAGCGGUGAAAUGCGUAGAUAUCUGGAGGAACACCGGUGGCGAAGGCGGCAUCCUGGACCAAUACUGACGCUGAGGAGCGAAAGCCAGGGGAGCAAACGGG
rnacentral:rRNA from 1 species